UACGUAGGUGGCAAGCGUUAUCCGGAUUUGCUGGGUGUAAAGGGCGUGUAGGCGGGAGAGCAAGUCAGACGUGAAAUUCCAGGGCUCAACCCUGGAACUGCGUUUGAAACUGUUCUUCUUGAGUGAUGGAGAGGCAGGCGGAAUUCCGUGUGUAGCGGUGAAAUGCGUAGAUAUACGGAGGAACACCAGUGGCGAAGGCGGCCUGCUGGACAUUAACUGACGCUGAGGCGCGAAAGCGUGGGGAGCAAACAGG
rnacentral:rRNA from 1 species